rnacentral:rRNA from 1 species
GACGAACGCUGGCGGCGUGCUUAACACAUGCAAGUCGAACGGAAAGGCCCAGCUUGCUGGGUACUCGAGUGGCGAACGGGUGAGUAACACGUGGGUGAUUUGCUCUUGACUCUGGGAUAAGCCUGGGAAACUGGGUCUAAUACCGGAUAUGACCUUACAUCGCAUGGUGUUUGGUGGGAAGCUUUUGCGGUUCAGGAUGGGCACGCGGCCUAUCCGCUUGUUGGUGGGGUAAUGGUCUACCAAGGCGACGCCGGAUAUCCGACCUGAGAGGGUGAUCAGCCACACGGGGACUAAGACACGGCGCAGACUCCAACGGGAGGCAGUGGUGGGGAGUAUUGCACAAUGGGGGCGAGCCUGAUGCAGCGGCGCCGCGAGUGGGAUGAAGUCCUUCGGGUUGUAAACCUCUUUCACCAGGGACGAUGCGUGAUUGACGUUACCUGGAGAAGAAGCACCGGCCAACUACGUG